UUUUCAUUUUUGUCAAAUGUCAGAGGGUACACAGAACACUUGUUGUCCAGGCCACCACAAGCAAUGGCACAUCCAGAAGGGGCAUAUGCACAUGCCAUCACCCAGGUACACGGCAUCGUCACAGCAUGUUCCUUGUUGGUAGUGAACGAAUCCCACACAAUCACCUUCCCAUCCUGGGAAGAGCUCACAAUUCUUCUUUUGUCUUUGCACCAGUCCAUACACAGAACUUUAUUUCCG
rnacentral:lncRNA from 1 species